GCUGGGCGUGGUGGCGCGUGCCUGUAGUCCCAGCUACUUGGGAGGCUGAGGUGGGAGGAUCGCUUGAGCCCAGGAGUUCUGGGCUGUUGGGUGUCCGCACUAAGGUCACAUAGUGACCUCCUGGGAGUGGGGGACACCAGGUUGCCUAAGAAGGGGUGAACCGGCCCAGGUUGGAAACAGAGCCAGUCAAAACUCCCAUGCUGAUCAGUAGUAGGAUCAUGCCUGUGAAUAGCCACUGCACUCCAGCCUGGGCAACAUAGUGAGACCUCGUCUCUA
ensembl:misc_RNA Metazoa_SRP Metazoan signal recognition particle RNA